rnacentral:misc_RNA from 1 species
GAUGUUUAUAGGUUUUACUACCGCCACCACCAACAAAGUAAAAUUGGUUUUACUACAGACAGAUUAAUGCUGAUUCGCCAGACAUCACUAUGAACUUCCCAAAAAAAUAAAAAGAUCUCCGAAUUCACUGACUACCAAGCUUGAUGAUCACUGCGAAAAACUACAAUCUUAUAUUCAGACCAUCAUAGAAUUGCCAACAGAGUGACUUAGUCCUGCACUUUAUCUGGAAUAGAACGCCUCCAUAUGCCAGCCAAGGCACUGCCAAAUAUCGAAUGGCAAACACUAGAAACGGCACAUGGUACUGCAGUAAGUGGAUUACCAAAGUGCUGAGUGGCUAGAACUACUCCAAGAACCGAGUUCUGCAUUCCGACUUCAAUAGAUAUUGUCCUUGAGGAGGACAUAUCAACUCCAAGCAUCCUUGCGAGUACAUAGCCAAAGAAGAAGCCAGACGCAUGAAGAAGAGCAGCAGCUAUGACAACCUGUUGUCCUGACAUAAGGAUUGCAGAAGAACUCUGUGCAAUUGCAUUUCCACAAAGAACAGCAACAGUUGCUACAGCAAUAGGUGGCAUCAAUGGAGACACGAUUUUGACUAGGCCUUUGAAAUACUGAUUCAGAAAUGCACCAGCUAAUACAGGAAGAAGCACCACCUGUAAAGUAGACAUGAAAAGUCCAGCUGCAUCUACUGCAAC